UAAAGAUACUAAGGGCAUAUGGCGGAUGCCUUGGCGAUACUAGCCGAAGAAGGACGCGGUAAGCUGCGAAAAGCUACGGAGAGGUGCAAGCGACCUGAGACCCGUAGAUAUCCGAAUGGGGGAACCUAGCAGUGGUUAUGCACUGUUACCCAUACCAUUGAGUAUGAGGAGGGCACCUGGGGAACUGAAACAUCUAAUUACCCAGAGGAAAAGUAAUCAAACGAGAUUGUCUUAGUAGCGGCGAGCGAACGGGCAAGAGGCCAAACCAGGACGGGCAACCGAUCUGGGGUUGAGGACAGUCAUCAAGUAGAAAUGGGAUAGAAGAAAUGUGUUGGAAAACACUGCCGGAGAAGGUGAAAGCCCUGUAUUCGAAAUCCUGCAUCUACGGGACUGUAUCCAGAGUACUACGAGACACGUGAAACCUUGUAGGAAGCAGGGGGGACCAUCCUCCAAGCCAAAAUACUAGUAUCGACCGAUAGCGCAUAGUACCGUGAGGGAAAGGUGAAAAGAACCCCUGGCGGGGAGUGAAAGAGAACCUGAAACCGUAUGUCUACAAACAGUCGAAGUCUGUAUAUAUAUCAGGACGACGGCGUGCCUAUUGAAGAAUGAACCGACGAGUUACUGUUGCUAGCGAGGUUAAGUGGAAAACAUGGAGCCGCAGCGAAAGCGAGUCUUAAGAGGGCGUAUAGUUAGUAAUAGUAGACCCGAAACCGUAGUGAUCUAUCCAUGGCCAGGUUGAAGCACAGGUAAAAUUGUGUGGAGGACCGAACUCGUGAGCGUUGAAAAGCUUUGGGAUGAGUUGUGGAUAGGGGUGAAAUGCCAAUCGAACACGGAGAUAGCUGGUUCUCCCCGAAAUAGCUUUAGGGCUAGCCUCAAGGAGAGAGUAUAGGCGGUAGAGCACUGAUCGGGCUAGGGGCCAUACCGGUUACCGAACCUAGUCAAACUACGAAUGGCUAUACUUAUACUUGGGAGUCAGACAGUGAGUGAUAAGGCCCAUUGUCAAGAGGGAAACAGCCCAGAACACCGACUAAGGUCCCCAAUGCUGAACUAAGUGGCGAAGGAUGUGGAAUUUCUAAAACAACCAGGAUGUUGGCUCAGAAGCAGCCACCAUUUAAAGAGUGCGUAAUAGCUCACUGGUCGAGAGACUCUGCGCCGAAAAUGUCCGGGGCUAAAGUUCAGAACCGAAGUCGUGUCAUGUACAGCAAUGUACAUGGGUAGGGGAGCGUUCUAAUUGGACAGAAGCAGUACCGGAAGGAGCUGUGGACUGAUUAGAAGUGAGAAUGUCGGUAUGAGUAGCGAAAAGAAAGGUGAGAAUCCUUUCCACCGAAAGCCCAAGGGUUCCUGAGCAACGAUCGUCGUCUCAGGGUAAGUCGGGACCUAAGCCGAGGCGGGAAAGCAUAGGCGAUGGACAACUGGUUGAAAUUCCAGUACUAGUGUGAAUUGUUUGAUCAACGGAGUGACACAGAAAGAUAGGUCAGCAUGCGAUUGGAAGAGCAUGUGUAAGCGAGUAGGUUGAGUUAUAGGCAAAUCCGUAACUCUAAAAGCUGAGACGUGAAUGCGAGCUGUAGCAAUACAGUGAAGUGAUUGAUUCUAAGCUGUCGAGAAAAGCUUCUAGGUAGAGACACACUACCCGUACCGUAAACCGACACAGGUAGGCGGGGAGAGAAUCCUAAGGUGCGCGGGAAAACCCUCGUUAAGGAACUCGGCAAAAUGCCUCCGUAACUUCGGGAAAAGGAGGACUCAUGUAGUGUGUAGCACAGCAACGUGUGAAGCAUGAAUGAGUGGCACAAGAGAGGCGCAAGCGACUGUUUACCACAAACACAGGUGCCUGCUAAAGCGAAAGCUGAUGUAUAGGUGCUGACACCUGCCCGGUGCUGGAAGGUUAAGAGAAGGGGUUAGAUGUAAAUCGAAGCUCUGAAUUGAAGCCCCAGUAAACGGCGGCCGUAACUAUAACGGUCCUAAGGUAGCGAAAUUCCUUGUCGGGUAAGUUCCGACCCGCACGAAAG
rnacentral:rRNA from 1 species